rnacentral:rRNA from 1 species
GUCGAACGCUGGCGGCGUGCUUAACACAUGCAAGUCGAACGAAGUGGCGAACGGGUGAGUAACGCGUAAUCAACUUGCCCUUCAGGGGGGGACAACAGUUGGAAACGACUGCUAAUACCGCAUACUGAAGGGGGAGAUGGAGUAUGAUGAGCUAGUUGGAGGGGUAACGGCACACCAAGGCGAUGAUCAGUAGCCGGUCUUGGAGGAUGAACGGCCACAUUGGGACUGGGACACGGCCCAGACUCCUAAGGGAGGCAGCAGUGGGGAAUCUUCCGCAAUGGACGAAAGUCUGACGGAGCAACGCCGCGUGAGUGAUGACGGCCUUCGGGUUGUAAAGCUCUGUUAAUCGGGACGCGGUACCGGAAUAGAAAGCCACGGCUAACUACGUGCCAGCAGCCGCGGUAAUAC